GACCUCGGAUCAGGUAGGGAACCCGUGACU
rnacentral:rRNA from 1 species